rnacentral:rRNA from 1 species
GGGAUUGCCUCAGUAACGGCGAGUGAAGCGGCAACAGCUCAAAUUUGAAAUCUGGCCUCUUCGGGGUCCGAGUUGUAAUUUGUAGAGAGUGCUUCGGGUGAGACCGCGGUCUAAGUCCAUUGGAACAUGGCGUCCCAGAGGGUGAGAAUCCCGUAUGCGACCGUGGCUCGAGCCCAUGUGAAGCCUCUUCGACGAGUCGAGUUGUUUGGGAAUGCAGCUCUAAAUGGGUGGUAAAUUUCAUCUAAAGCUAAAUACUGGCUGGAGACCGAUAGCGCACAAGUAGAGUGAUCGAAAGAUGAAAAGCACUUUGGAAAGAGAGUUAAACAGUACGUGAAAUUGUUGAAAGGGAAGCGCUUGCAACCAGACCUGCCCGUAGGCGAUCAACCGCUGUUCUCAGCGGUGCACUCGUUCUGCGAUCAGGCCAGCAUCGGUUCGGGCGGCCGGAUAAAGGCCUUGGGAAUGUAGCUCCCUUUCGGGGGAGUCUUAUAGCCCUCGGUGCAAUGCGGCCAGCCGGGACCGAGGACCGCGCUUCGGCUAGGAUGCUGGCGUAAUGGUUGUAAGCGACCCGUCUUGAAACACGGACCAAGGAGUCUAACAUCUAUGCGAGUGUUUGGGUGUCAAACCCAUGCGCGGAAUGAAAGUGAACGGAGGUGAGAACCCUGUCGGGCGCAUCAUCGACCGAUCCAGAUGUCUUCGGAUGGAUUUGAGUAUGAGCAUAGCUGUUGGGACCCGAAAGAUGGUGAACUAUACUUGAAUAGGGUGAAGCCAGAGGAAACUCUGGUGGAGGCUCGCAGCGGUUCUGACGUGCAAAUCGAUCGUCAAAUUUGGGUAUAGGGGCGAAAGACUAAUC